GGCGCACGGGUGAGUAACACGUGGGAACGUGCCCAACGGUUUGGAAUAACUCAGGGAAACUUGAGCUAAUACCGAAUACGCCCUCAGGGGGAAAGAUUUAUCGCCGAUGGAGCGGCCCGCGUCCGAUUAGCUUGUUGGUGAGGUAAAAGCUUACCAAGGCAACGAUCGGUAGCUGGUUUGAGAGAACGAUCAGCCACACUGGGACUGAGACACGGCCCAGACUCCUACGGGAGGCAGCAGUGGGGAAUCUUGGACAAUGGGCGAAAGCCUGAUCCAGCCAUGCCGCGUGAGUGAUGAAGGCCCUAGGGUUGUAAAACUCUUUCGGCGGGGACGAUAAUGACGGUACCCGCAGAAGAAGCUCCGGCUAACUUCGUGCCAGCAGCCGCGGUAAUACGAAGGGGGCUAGCGUUGUUCGGUAUUACUGGGCGUAAAGCGCGCGCAGGCGGUUUGCCAAGUCAGAGGUGAAAGCCCCGAGCUCAACUCGGGAACUGCCUUUGAGACUGGUAGACUAGGGUACGGGAGAGGUGAGUGGAAUUCC
rnacentral:rRNA from 1 species